CCUACGGGGAGCAGCAGUGCGGAAUAUUGGUCAAAGGGCGUAAGCCUGAACCAGCCAAGUCGCGUGAGGGAUGAAGGUUCUAUGGAUCGUAAACCUCUUUUAUAAGGGAAUAAAGUGUGGGACGUGUCCUGUUUUGUCUGUACCUUAUGAAUAAGGAUCGGCUAACUCCGUGCCAGCAGCCGCGGUAAUACGGAGGGUCCGAGCGUUAUCCGGAUUUAUUGGGUUUAAAGGGUGCGUAGGCGGCCUUUUAAGUCAGCGGUGAAAGUCUGUGGCUCAACCAUAGAAGUGCCGUUGAAACUGGGAGGCUUGAGUAUGUUUGAGGCAGGCGGAAUGCGUGGUGUAGCGGUGAAAUGCUUAGAUAUCACGCAGAACCCCGAUUGCGAAGGCAGCCUGCCAAGCCAUGACUGACGCUGAUGCACGAAAGCGUGGGGAUCAAACAGGAUUAGAUACCCGGGUAGUC
rnacentral:rRNA from 1 species